CCUACGUGAGGCUGCAGUGGGGAAUAUUGCACAAUGGGGGAAACCCUGAUGCAGCGACGCCGCGUGAGUGAAGAAGUAAUUCGUUAUGUACAGCUCUAUCAGCAGGGAAGAAAAUGACGGUACCUGAGUAAGAAGCCCCGGCUAACUACGUGCCAGCAGCCGCGGUAAUACGUAGGGGGCAAGCGUUAUCCGGAUUUACUGGGUGUAAAGGGAGCGUAGACGGCAGUGCAAGUCUGGAGUGAAAGGCGGGGGCUCAACCCCCGGACUGCUCUUGAAACUGUACGGCUGGAGUGCAGGAGAGGUAAGUGGAAUUCCUAGUGUAGCGGUGAAAUGCGUAGAUAUGAGGAGGAACACCAGUGGCGAAGGCGGCUUACUGGACUGUAACUGACGUUGAGGCUCGAAAGCGUGGGGAGCAAACAGGAUUAGAUACCCGGGUAGUC
rnacentral:rRNA from 1 species